AUGUGCAUUGAAGCCCUCAGCAGGAAUCAGACAAGCAAGGGGCAACAUCAGGCCUGAAAGUUACCUUGGCGAGCAUCUGGAUGCCUCUCCCUACUUCACAGUUAAAAGACGGAGUCCUAGACAGAAGAACCCUCUUGCCCCAGGUCAAGACAGAGGUGGACUUUAGGCUGCAGAGGUGGUCUCUACUUGCCUUGUACCGGGCCCUGGGAUGAUGAAGGCAGAGGAAUAUUGCUUCUGGGGGCCAGAUAGAGGAGGUGUGACUCCAGAUUGGAUAUCAAAGAAACCACAAUAAAGACCUUGCUCUCCUGGUUCCCAUCACUCCCGACUUCGGCCUCCUGACCACCCAGGUGCUUUCCCACGUGGCCUUGUGUGGGUGCUGUGCCUCCCGUCCCCAGGACCUGGGUGCACACUAAACUCUGCUUUCCUGAGCUUCUCCCCUGUCUCCUCUUCUGGCAUCACCUGAAUGACCAUUUCAGAAAAAUACACAAAACAGGGCGCCUGGGUGGCUCAGUCGUUAAGCGUCUGCCUUCAGCUCAGGUCAUGAUCCCAGGGUCCUGGAAUCGAGUCCCACAUCGGACUCCCUGUUCGGCGGGAGGCCUGCUUCUCCUUCUCCCACUCCCCCUGCUUAUGUUCCUGCUCUCGCUGUCUCUCUCUCUGUCAAAUAAAUAAAUAAAGUCUUAAAAAAAAAAAAAAAGAAAAA